AGUGAACGCUGGCGGUAGGCCUAACACAUGCAAGUCGAACGGCAGCACAGUAAGAGCUUGCUCUUACGGGUGGCGAGUGGCGGACGGGUGAGGAAUACAUCGGAAUCUACUUUUUCGUGGGGGAUAACGUAGGGAAACUUACGCUAAUACCGCAUACGACCUACGGGUGAAAGCAGGGGAUCUUCGGACCUUGCUCGAUUGAAUGAGCCGAUGUCGGAUUAGCUAGUUGGCGGGGUAAAGGCCCACCAAGGCGACGAUCCGUAGCUGGUCUGAGAGGAUGAUCAGCCACACUGGAACUGAGACACGGUCCAGACUCCUACGGGAGGCAGCAGUGGGGAAUAUUGGACAAAGGGCGCAAGCCUGAUCCAGCCAUACCGCGUGGGUGAAGAAGGCCUUCGGGUUGUAAAGCCCUUUUGUUGGGAAAGAAAAGCAGCAGGUUAAUACCCCGCUGUUCUGACGGUACCCAAAGAAUAAGCACCGGCUAACUUCGUG
rnacentral:rRNA from 1 species